rnacentral:rRNA from 1 species
AGAGUUUGAUCCUGGCUCAGGACGAACGCUGGCGGCGUGCUUAACACAUGCAAGUCGAACGGUGACGAUCAAGCUUGCUUGGUCUGAUCAGUGGCGAACGGGUGAGUAACACGUGAGUAACCUGCCCCUGACUCUGGGAUAACCCCGGGAAACCGGAGCUAAUACCGGAUAUGACACCAACGGGCAUCCGUAUGGUGUGGAAAGUUUUUCGGUCUGGGAUGGACUCGCGGCCUAUCAGCUUGUUGGUGAGGUAGUGGCUCACCAAGGCGACGACGGGUAGCCGGCCUGAGAGGGCGACCGGCCACACUGGGACUGAGACACGGCCCAGACUCCUACGGGAGGCAGCAGUGGGGAAUAUUGCACAAUGGGCGAAAGCCUGAUGCAGCGACGCCGCGUGAGGGAUGACGGCCUUCGGGUUGUAAACCUCUUUCAGCAGGGAAGAAGCGAAAGUGACGGUACCUGCAGAAGAAGCACCGGCUAACUACGUGCCAGCAGCCGCGGUAAUACGUAGGGUGCGAGCGUUGUCCGGAAUUAUUGGGCGUAAAGAGCUUGUAGGCGGUUUGUCGCGUCUGCUGUGAAAAUCCGGGGCUCAACCCCGGACUUGCAGUGGGUACGGGCAGACUAGAGUGUGGUAGGGGAGACUGGAAUUCCUGGUGUAGCGGUGAAAUGCGCAGAUAUCAGGAGGAACACCGAUGGCGAAGGCAGGUCUCUGGGCCACUACUGACGCUGAGAAGCGAAAGCGUGGGGAGCGAACAGGAUUAGAUACCCUGGUAGUCCACGCCGUAAACGUUGGGAACUAGGUGUGGGUCUCAUUCCACGAGAUCUGUGCCGCAGCUAACGCAUUAAGUUCCCCGCCUGGGGAGUACGGCCGCAAGGCUAAAACUCAAAGGAAUUGACGG